GAAAUGUUCCCUACAUAAUACUAAUUGAUGUAUUAGAUUACUUCAAAUUGAAUGUGUGAAUGUGGUAUACAUGUCUUCGAGACUGACUGAUGGAUAGAAGGAAAAGAAACCUAACAUAGACAUGUAGUACACCAAACCAUUUUGCACUUUUUUUUUGUUUUUUUUUUUUGUUUUGUAGAAAUAGACAAAUUCAAAAUGGUUUAUGCAACCAUGCCCCCACCGCUUCCUUCCUGUUUGUAGUUCAGGGCUGGUAUUUAGUUGACCUUGUUAGCGUAAUGAAGUAAUUCCAAAUGGUGGACCGGGUCUAUAGCUGGAUCCAGAAAUUAUUUGGCAAUAAACAAGGAUUUGGAAGAAUUCAAGCCGGACUGACUGACAUGGUACAUUUCAUAAGUUUAGGAUUAGCACGCUGGGUGAAAAGGGAACUGCCAACUCCCCUCAUCACGGCACUUUCCUGGAGGUGGUGCUUUUCUAAUAAAAUAAUCAAAUUCCUAAUCCCCAUCAUUAUUUGUUGAUGAAAGUUUUGGAGAUUCAUGUUUUGAUUGAAAAAACACCACUAGUUAUUGUAAUGAGCUAGAGGAAUGCACAAUAACUAAAUAAACCAUAAGUUUACAACAUUUACUUUACCGGUCAAAUGCUGCCAUUAUAAUUUGAAGGAGCAAGUCGUAUAUAUAUGCUUCCAUUUUCCAAAUUUUUUUAAAAUGGAAGCCUUCCUAUGGAGUUUGAUUUCAACUCAUACCUUUGUUCGUCAUAUAUAUAUAUAGACCGUGGUGGAGCAAUGAUUUAAAGUCAUCGUUGCCUACGUCCUUAAUUCCCAGAAACUGCAAACCUGGC
rnacentral:lncRNA from 1 species